CAGAGGAUGGUCUAAUUUAUGAUCUCAGCUUUGGGGGUUGGGGAUGGGAGUUUGAGUCUCUCUCCUCUGA
rnacentral:tRNA from 1 species